rnacentral:rRNA from 1 species
UAGGGAAUCUUCCGCAAUGGGCGAAAGCCUGACGGAGCAACGCCGCGUGAGUGAUGAAGGUCUUCGGAUCGUAAAACUCUGUUAUUAGGGAAGAACAAAUGUGUAAGUAACUAUGCACAUCUUGACGGUACCUAAUCAGAAAGCCACGGCUAACUACGUGCCAGCAGCCGCGGUAAUACGUAGGUGGCAAGCGUUAUCCGGAAUUAUUGGGCGUAAAGCGCGCGUAGGCGGUUUUUUAAGUCUGAUGUGAAAGCCCACGGCUCAACCGUGGAGGGUCAUUGGAAACUGGAAAACUUGAGUGCAGAAGAGGAAAGUGGAAUUCCAUGUGUGGCGGUGAAAUGCGCAGAGAUAUGGAGGAACACCAGUGGCGAAGGCGACUUUCUGGUCUGUAACUGACGCUGAUGUGCGAAAGCGUGGGGAUCAAACAGG